GUUGAAAAAUAAAAGAUAUGAGAAAUUAAACAAUUCUGUAUUGCAAAUUACAAGAUUACGCAAACACUUCGCACGACGAGAAGAAUAAGGGAAAAAGAGUUUACAUGUCAAAUCACUGUCUUAUAUACCCAACGUUCUGUCACAUCACUGAUUGUCUAUUGCACUCACAGUUUAUAUAGAUGCUUCACACCGAUAACCGAUAAAUUAAGCAUGGAUCACACGAUGUGAAUCGUUAUAGAGUUGCACCGCAAUGAAAAUGUGAGACGUUCCUUA
rnacentral:misc_RNA from 1 species